UACGGAAGGCAGCAGUGGGGAAUAUUGCACAAUGGGCGAAAGCCUGAUGCAGCUAUGCCGCGUGUAUGAAGAAGGCCUUAGGGUUGUAAAGUACUUUCAUCGGGGAGGAAAAACAAAACUAAUAAUUUUAUUUCUUGACGUUACCCGAAAAAGAAGCACCGGCUAACUCCGUGCCAGCAGCCGCGGUAAUACGGAGGGUGCUAGCGUUAAUCAGAAUUACUGGGCGUAAAGAGCACGUAGGUGGUUUUUUAAGUCAGAUGUGAAAAUCCCUGGGCUUAACCUAGGAACUGCAUUUUGAAACUGAAAUACUAGAGUAUCGUAGAGGGAGGUAGAAUUCUAGGUGUAGCGGUGAAAUGCGUAGAUAUCUGGAGGAAUACCUGUGGCGAAAAGCGGCCUCCUAAACGAAUACUGACACUGAGGUGCGAAAGCGUGGGGAGCAAACAGGGAUUAGAUACC
rnacentral:rRNA from 1 species